AGAGUUUGAUCCUGGCUCAGGAUGAACGCUGGCGGCGUGCUUAACACAUGCAAGUCGAACGGGGAACAUUUUAAAGAAGCUUCGGCAGAUUUAGUUUGUUCCUAGUGGCGGACGGGUGAGUAACGCGUGGGUAACCUGCCUCACACUGGGGGAUAACAGUCAGAAAUGACUGCUAAUACCGCAUAAGCGCACAGAGCCGCAUGGCUCAGUGUGAAAAACUCCGGUGGUGUGAGAUGGACCCGCGUUGGAUUAGCCAGUUGGCAGGGUAACGGCCUACCAAAGCGACGAUCCAUAGCCGGCCUGAGAGGGUGGACGGCCACAUUGGGACUGAGACACGGCCCAGACUCCUACGGGAGGCAGCAGUGGGGAAUAUUGCACAAUGGGGGAAACCCUGAUGCAGCGACGCCGCGUGAAGGAAGAAGUAUCUCGGUAUGUAAACUUCUAUCAGCAGGGAAGAAAAUGACGGUACCUGACUAAGAAGCCCCGGCUAACUACGUGCCAGCAGCCGCGGUAAUACGUAGGGGGCAAGCGUUAUCCGGAUUUACUGGGUGUAAAGGGAGCGUAGACGGAGCAGCAAGUCUGAUGUGAAAGGCGGGGGCUCAACCCCCGGACUGCAUUGGAAACUGUUGAUCUUGAGUACCGGAGAGGUAAGCGGAAUUCCUAGUGUAGCGGUGAAAUGCGUAGAUAUUAGGAGGAACACCAGUGGCGAAGGCGGCUUACUGGACGGUAACUGACGUUGAGGCUCGAAAGCGUGGAGAGCAAACAGGAUUAGAUACCCUGGUAGUCCACGCCGUAAACGAUGAGUACUAGGUGUCGGAGGUUACCCCCUUCGGUGCCGCAGCUAACGCAUUAAGUACUCCGCCUGGGGAGUCCGCACGCAAGUGUGAAACUCAAAGGAAUUGACGGGGACCCGCACAAGUAGCGGAGCAUGUGGUUUAAUUCGAAGCAACGCGAAGAACCUUACCAGGUCUUGACAUCCUUUGACCACUCUAGAGAUAGAGCUUUCCCUUCGGGGACAAAGUGACAGGUGGUGCAUGGUUGUCGUCAGCUCGUGUCGUGAGAUGUUGGGUUAAGUCCCGCAACGAGCGCAACCCUUAUUACUAGUUGCCAGCAUUUAGUUGGGCACUCUAGUGAGACUGCCGGUGACAAACCGGAGGAAGGUGGGGACGACGUCAAAUCAUCAUGCCCCUUAUGACCUGGGCUACACACGUGCUACAAUGGAUGGUACAACGAGUUGCGAGACCGCGAGGUUUAGCUAAUCUCUUAAAACCAUUCUCAGUUCGGAUUGUAGGCUGCAACUCGCCUACAUGAAGCCGGAAUCGCUAGUAAUCGCGGAUCAGCAUGCCGCGGUGA
rnacentral:rRNA from 1 species